rnacentral:rRNA from 1 species
CUACGGGAGGCUCCAGUGAGGAAUUUUGCGCAAUGGGGGGAACCCUGACGCAGCAACGCCGCGUGAGUGAUGAAGGCUUUCGGGUCGUAAAGCUCUGUCAAGUGGGAAGAACCUAUGCAGUGUUAAUAUCACUGUAUACUGACGGUACCACUGAAGGAAGCACCGGCUAACUCCGUGCCAGCAGCCGCGGUAGAUACGGGGGGUGCAAGCGUUAUUCGGAAUCAUUGGGCGUAAAGGGCACGUAGGCGGCUUGGUAAGUCAGAUGUGAAAGCACGGGGCUUAACCCCGGAAGUGCAUUUGGUACUGUCAGGCUUGAGUAUGGGAGAGAGAAGUAGAAUGCCUGGUGUAGAGGUGAAAUUCGUAGCUAUCAGGAGGAACACCGGUGGCGAAGGCGACUUCCUGGACCAAUACUGACGCUGAGGUGCGAAGGCGUGGGUGGCAAACAGGAUUAGAUACCCGAGUAGUC